rnacentral:lncRNA from 1 species
UCUAGCAAAAAUAAUUUCAGAAUAGUCCAGGUUUGAGUUUGAGCCAAACCAUCGCUGAUUUCAAGCAUUUGUUGUGGUUUUGUUUUGCUUGUUUUGUUUUGCUCUUGGACAGGAAAACUCUUUGAAAGAAGAUAAGGAAAGACCCUUCACUAUGAUGAAAGUUUCAAUUAUUCUCCUCUUAUACUUUCAAGAAGAAGGCAGAGGAGACAAAAGCAGCCAGGAAGGUGCUGAUGUCCUGUUAUAUCCUCUGUCAAGAAACUCCCUGCCAUUUUCCAGAGUGGCAUGCAGACUUGAACCAUUUGGAGGUGUGAGAUUCUCCCUGUUUUCCACUUUAUUUCUCCUCUUUCUUUUUUGAUUAAGUAGAAGAGGCUGAAAGGAGGAAAUUCCAAAAGCAAGUUACUUGUGUGUUUUUUAAAUUAGUUUUGCUAUUUUGAUCCUCUCUUCUUUCCAAAAUAAAAUUUUACAAACAACCA